rnacentral:rRNA from 1 species
AUGGCGUCCUCCUCCUCCUCUGUCGCCAUCGCGGCGGCUCUGCUCCUCUGCAUCCUCGCCGCGCACGGCCACGGCUGCUGCGCCAAGCGCAGCGGCGGCGGCGGCAAGAAGGCCCACUCCCACCACGCGCCCCCGCACGCCCACGUCGGCUCCCCUCCUCCCCCAGCCGCCAUCCCGCCUCCUCCCGCGGCCAAUUCCAGCUCCAACAGCACCAAUGUCGACGCCGGCGGCUGGCUCGACGCCAGGGCGACGUGGUACGGCGCGCCCAAGGGCGCCGGGCCCGACGACAACGGCGGCGCCUGCGGGUUCAAGAACGUCAACCUGCCACCCUUCUCCGCCAUGACCUCGUGCGGCAACGAGCCGCUCUUCAAGGACGGCAAGGGAUGCGGCUCAUGCUACCAGAUACGGUGCGUGUCGGCGGGCCACCCGGCGUGCUCCGGCGUGCCGGAGACGGUGAUCAUCACGGACAUGAACUACUACCCGGUGUCCCGCUUCCACUUCGACCUCAGCGGCACCGCCUUCGGCGCCAUGGCCAAGGACGGCCGCAACGACGAGCUCCGCCACGCCGGCAUCAUCGACAUGCAGUUCAGGAGGGUGCCGUGCCAGUACCCGGGGCUCACGGUCACGUUCCACGUGCAGCACGGCUCCAACCCCUACUACCUGGCCAUCCUGGUGGAGUACGAGAACGGCGACGGCGACGUGGACCAGGUGGACAUCAUGCAGUCACGGCCGGACGUCGCCGGAGAAGGCGGGAUGGCGCCGACGGGGGAGUGGGUGCCCAUGACCGAGUCGUGGGGGUCCAUCUGGCGGAUGGACACGCGGCGCCCCAUGCAGGGCCCCUUCUCGCUGCGCAUCACCAACGAGUCCGGCAAGACGCUCGUCGCCGACCAGGUCAUCCCCGCCGACUGGGAGCCCAACGAGAUAUACAGCUCCAUCAUCCAGUUCGACUAA